rnacentral:rRNA from 1 species
CUCAUUACACAGAUAUAAUCUACUUGUUCUAUGACUUAAAUGGAUAACUGCGGUAAUUCUGGAGCCAAUACAUGCGAACAGCUGCGGCCUUCGGGUUGCAGUGCUAUUAUUGGAGCAAAACUAUUCGUUAGUCCUUUUGCUAACUCUGGAUAAUACUGCGUAUCGCACGAUCUUGUGUCGGCGAAGUUUCAUUCGAGUAUCUGCCCUAUCAACUGGUUGGCAGUGUAUUGGACUGCCAUGGUUCUAACGGGUAACGGAGAAUCAGGGUUUGACUCCGGAGAAUCCGCCUUAAAAAACGGCGAAU